rnacentral:lncRNA from 1 species
AUCGGGGUUCAAAAUGGAUUUAGACCAGUUGUUUGUUUUCCUUGACGCUUUGAGCGUCGAUUGUCACACCCUUUUCAUCUCCUACCUUUUAUACAGAUGGUUUUUUAUUCUUUUACAGUAAAUUUACCUCUAAAUCUUUGUUUAUUCCUGUUUUUCUUUUUCUACCAUUUUCUUUCUCAUAAUGCCUAAUGACUUUUCAAUCUUUCUUAUAAAUAAUUCAACGUAAAUGGCACAUGAUUCGUACAUUUUGUUUCUUAAUGAAGUGACGAAUCCAAUGGAGGUGGUCCGGGGGUUGGAAACCCAUUUAUUGACAAUCUACGCAUUUGAAUUGGAACAUAUCUCCUGGGUUGGGAACCCCAUUUUUUGACAAUCUACGCAUUUGAAUUGGAAC